CUGUUCCUCGCAUCUAGACUGAAUGGUCUCCAGAGAUUAAAAUGACAGUCACUCAGGACGUCCAUGCUUUCCAUCUAUUUCCAACUGUGGCUCCUGGAGACUCUUCCUUGAAUCUGCAGGCUUCAGCUGGAGGCAGCAAAAUUCCCUACUAGGGGUUGGAAAAAUAAACAUACUGGGCUCUUCUGUUAGGAGUUUUCAAUCUUGGUUUUCUCAUAAGGGAGGAGAGAGGUCAAUAUCCUAAAGUAAGCACGGAUAGACUAUACAUAACGCCUGCUCGGAGUUACACACUGUGUCUGGAGGUCAGACACAAAAGACUGCUGCCUAAAAAUCAUUCCAUGAGGAACCCACAAUAGGAGAAGAGAGCCAUAUUAACAAACUCAACAAAUUGUUUGAGCUGUAUGACAAGAAGGCAAAGCACUCACACGGAAGGAGAGGUAAAUACGAAAAGUGGUCCUUGAGCUGCUUGUUGAAAGAUAAAUAGUUUAUGACCUAACUCGAGUAAGAGGUAAAAAGCCAUGCCCAACAGAGUGGGGUAGUGUUGAGCAAAAGCGUGCAAGCUGGGGAGAAAAACAUUUGUGUUUUAGGAAUAUGAAAAUGGAGUGCACCCAGAUGUAGACUGUGAGAAGGUGUGUGUGGGAGAUUCGUGGGCUGUUAGGCAGGUGCCCAGGCUGUGGCUCUUCCCCUCUGGGUCUGCCCUGUACAGAUGCUCCUUCUGCCUGUAUCUUUUCACUCAGACUAUUCCUAGAGAUGGCUAUCACUGUCUCUUCCUCCUAGAUACAUACAAACUCCUCCAAGUUACAGUUUAUCGCUCUCUAUCUUCUCUCAUUGCUUUGAGCCACAUUUGACUCUAGUUUAACAGCUAAGUGUGUUUCAAUGUUUGAAUUUAUACAUAUUCUCUUUCCUCCAAUUCUUUAAACAGAUUUUAACUGACUAUAGUACUUAAUUUUAUUGGCCCUGCAAAAUGGUAAAUACAUAGCAAUGGUUUAAUAAAGUUUGAUUGACCAAUAAUUGAGACCUUUUUGCUAGCUUUUCUGAUGCUAGAGUAGAAGUAAUGGAACAACACGUGAUCUGAGCUCCUUGUUGGAAGCUGUAUUUACUUUAUUACAUUGUAACAAAUUACCAUAAACCCAGAGGCUUGAAACAACAGAAAUUCAUCCUUUCCCUGUU